UCCGUGUAUUUCUAUUUUCCGUUCGAUGUAUUAUGUAUAGCCGCCGCACGCGGACCCACAUCACCCAUCCCAUGUGAGGCUAGUCUGCGCUCCCUCUAGCAUGCAUCGGCAUCCAUUCUCUUUCUUCUAGCUCCGGCAUCCAACGUGCGACCGCCGGCGACCACUAACCGCCGACCGUCGGCGAUUUUUUUGAAGCUCCGGCAUCCAGAGUAUUUCUCUUCCCUCUUCAAUCUCUUGCCCUUCUACGAAGUUCUCGUGUGCCCUCCCGGCCCCUUCUGGAUCUUUUCAUCAGCUCGGAUCUACUGUUUUCCGUCUCCUUCGGGUCGCCAUGGUGUUACGAACGAGUUUACCGUCAAAGCUUCCAGCGGUGCCGCCGCACACUCGCGACUGUGACGACAUCGACGAGCGAGCCAGCCGCUACUCAGUGGUGAUUGCUCUUGUUUGAUUUCAUCCCCUUCCCCGCUGCACGCAAAUGGCAACAAACCAUAUACCAGGAAGGCAAGGACAGCACGCAGCCAAUCCAAAGAUUGUGUAGCCUAAUUCUCAUUAUCUCAGUGAUUCAUGAUGUGAUUGUCUGUUCAGCCAGUACAGUAACUGAUGCAGUGCAUCUAGGAGUAGUUGGUGAUAUGCUAGUCACUUAAAUUAUAGGCAUGCAGUAGACAUUCUUGAAUGGGUACUUGGAGAACUGCUGUUGUUAUUCUAAUUACAAGGGAGUUUUUUUUUUUA